rnacentral:rRNA from 1 species
AGAGUUUGAUCAUGGCUCAGGAUGAACGCUAGCGGCAGGCCUAAUACAUGCAAGUCGAGGGGCAGCGAGUCUAGCAAUAGAUGUCGGCGACCGGCGCACGGGUGCGUAACACGUAUACAAUCUGCCUUUAACAGGGGGAUAGCCCGGAGAAAUCCGGAUUAAUACCCCAUAACAGUGAUCCUGGCAUCAGGAACACUUAAAAGCUCCGGCGGUUAGAGAUGAGUAUGCGUCUGAUUAGCUAGUUGGUGAGGUAACGGCUCACCAAGGCGACGAUCAGUAGGGGAUCUGAGAGGAUUAACCCCCACACGGAUACUGAGACACGGAUCCGACUCCUACGGGAGGCAGCAGUAAGGAAUAUUGGACAAUGCCCGCAAGGGUGAUCCAGCCAUGCCGCGUGCAGGAAGAAGGCCCUAUGGGUCGUAAACUGCUUUUACACCGGAGAAAACCUCCCCUCGUGAGGGGAGCUGAUAGUAUGGUGAGAAUAAGCAUCGGCUAACUUCGUGCCAGCAGCCGCGGUAAGACGAAGGAUGCAAGCGUUAUCCGGAUUCAUUGGGUUUAAAGGGAGCGUAGGUGGACUGAUAAGUCAGUGGUGAAAUCUUUGGGCUUAACCCAAAAAUUGCCAUUGAUACUGUUGGUCUUGAGUAUAGUUGCCGUUGGCGGAAUAUGACAUGUAGUGGUGAAAUACAUAGAGAUGUCAUAGAACACCGAUUGCGAAGGCAGCUGACGAAACUAUAACUGACACUGAGGCUCGAAAGUGUGGGGAUCAAACAGGAUUAGAUACCCUAGUAGUCC